rnacentral:rRNA from 1 species
CCUACGGGAGGCAGCAGUGGGGAAUAUUGCACAAUGGGCGAAAGCCUGAUGCAGCGACGCCGCGUGAGGGAUGACGGCCUUCGGGUUGUAAACCUCUUUCAGCAGGGAAGAAGCGAAAGUGACGGUACCUGCAGAAGAAGCGCCGGCUAACUACGUGCCAGCAGCCGCGGUAAUACGUAGGGCGCAAGCGUUGUCCGGAAUUAUUGGGCGUAAAGAGCUCGUAGGCGGCUUGUCACGUCGGAUGUGAAAGCCCGGGGCUUAACCCCGGGUCUGCAUUCGAUACGGGCUAGCUAGAGUGUGGUAGGGGAGAUCGGAAUUCCUGGUGUAGCGGUGAAAUGCGCAGAUAUCAGGAGGAACACCGGUGGCGAAGGCGGAUCUCUGGGCCAUUACUGACGCUGAGGAGCGAAAGCGUGGGGAGCGAACAGGAUUAGAUACCCUGGUAGUCCACGCCGUAAACGUUGGGAACUAGGUGUUGGCGACAUUCCACGUCGUCGGUGCCGCAGCUACGACACUAACGUUACCCGUCCGUCGGGAGGUACGGCCGCGAACGGACGUAAACUAACAAACGGAAAGUUAGACGGCGUGAGACGUCGCCGAACGGACGACGACGAGGGAGGUAGG